rnacentral:rRNA from 1 species
UGGGGAAUAUUGGACAAUGGGCGCAAGCCUGAUCCAGCAAUGCCGCGUGUGUGAAGAAGGCCUUCGGGUUGUAAAGCACUUUUAUCAGGAGCGAAACGCUGUCGGCUAAUACCCGGCGGAACUGACGGUACCUGAGGAAUAAGCACCGGCUAACUUCGUGCCAGCAGCCGCGGUAAUACGAAGGGUGCAAGCGUUAAUCGGAAUUACUGGGCGUAAAGCGUGCGUAGGCGGUUUCUUAAGUCUGCUGUGAAAUCCCCGGGCUCAACCUGGGAAUGGCAGUGGAUACUGGGAGGCUAGAGUGUGUCAGAGGGUGGUGGAAUUCCCGGUGUAGCGGUGAAAUGCGUAGAGAUCGGGAGGAACAUCAGUGGCGAAGGCGGCCACCUGGGACAACACUGACGCUGAGGCACGAAAGCGUGGGGAGCAAACAGGAUUAGAUACCCUGGUAGUCCACGCCCUAAACGAUGCGAACUGGAUGUUGGUCUCAACUCGGAGAUCAGUGUCGAAGCUAACGCGUUAAGUUCGCCGCCUGGGGGAGUACGGUCGCAAGACUGAAACUCAAAGGAAUUGAC